UUUUCUCACAAACACACACUCCUCUCUUCACUCCCUCACACUCCCACGGUACCCACUCCACACCACCACAUCCACCAUCAUUUUUCCUGCAAGACCAUUAGAAAACUCUCGAGUAACAUCUAAGGCACCUUCAUCUCUUUUGAUUUAAGGUUUUAGCUAAUUUCAUUUGGAGGUUGGAAAAUUAGGCUUUUGUGGGUUGCGAGGUAAGUACCUUUUUAAUGGGAUAUUUUUUGGAAAAUAACCAUGUUGCAUAAACAUUGUUUUUGGGUCAAACACAUUUUGGAAAAUUAAUGGUGGAACUAUGUUUUUUUGAAAAGUGUUGUGUUGUGACCCUACUAUAUAUGAUUAUAUAUGAAAGUGCAUAUUCUUAUUGCAUAUGGGAAAUUGCAUGAUUUGUUAGCAUGAAAAAGACUAGCAUCUUUGAUUAAAUUCUUGAGAAUGCGUUUUAUGGAUUUAUUGCAUUAUUUGCAAAAAUAUAAAGAUGCUCUAUCUUGACCUAUGUUAUUUGGAAAGUUAAUACAAAAUCUUUUUGACAAGAAAUGAGUUGAAGGCUUUGAGAACCUUGUGAAUAUCUUGGGCAUUCAAAAAUUUUAUGAAACUACUUGGAAGUGAAUUAUGGAUUUUGAAUUAAAGGUAAUUUUUGAGCUCCUUAUGUUCUACCCAUGUGCCGUGACAUGUGAUUACCCUAUGAUUACCUAACUAGAUACUAUAGUUUGUGUGGCAUUGGUAUCUUAGCACCCAUCUUUGUGAUGGUUAUUGAGUUCUGUCUUUGUGACGGCGAUGAGUUCCAUCUUUGUGACGGCAGAUUAGUUUCGUCUUUGUGACGGCAUUGUCAUGCGGCCUUGGGUUUGGAAUUGUAUUGUUAUUGCUCACAAAUUAUAGUAUGUAGUUUCAUGAGAGCAUUUUGAGAAGCUUUGUGCCAUGUCAUUUUAUUCAUUCUUGUUAUAUUAUUUUUGGAAAUGGUUUUGUAGAAAUUAUUUGGAAAUUCCUAAAUUAAAACAUGAUUUCUGAAUUGUUAUUAUCAUGAAACUAGCAUUUCCCUCACCCCUAUUAAUUAUGCUACUUACUGGGCACUGUCUCAUUCCAUUAAUUUACAAACUUUUUCAAAGUAGGCAACUAUCAUUUUGAGACAGCUUUUUGAGGGCUAGCAGUAGUUAGACUAACUGCUGAUGGAGGCUGACUUUUGUAAUGGAGACAUUAGAUGAUGUACAUCUUAGAAUAGGCUUUACUCAUUCUUCUGUAUAUUAUAGUGGCUGUGACGUUAUUCCCACUGAUAUAUGGGAUAAGCUGAUGAUAUGUAAUUAUGCAUUUAGACCUCUGUUCUUUUGUGGCCAAUGGUCCUUGUAAUUAUUGCUUAGAGCUUUGACUUACAUUGUGUGUAUAUUCAAUGGAAUUAUUAUGAUAAUCCUUAAUAUUGGUACU